rnacentral:rRNA from 1 species
AUUGAACGCUGGCGGCAUGCUUUACACAUGCAAGUCGAACGGUAACAGGUUAAGCUGACGAGUGGCGAACGGGUGAGUAAUGCAUCGGAACGUGCCCGAUCGUGGGGGAUAACACUUCGAAAGAAGUGCUAAUACCGCAUACGAUCUGAGGAUGAAAGCGGGGGACCGUAAGGCCUCGCGCGAUCGGAGCGGCCGAUGUCAGAUUAGGUAGUUGGUGGGGUAAAGGCCUACCAAGCCGACGAUCUGUAGCUGGUCUGAGAGGACGACCAGCCACACUGGGACUGAGACACGGCCCAGACUCCUACGGGAGGCAGCAGUGGGGAAUUUUGGACAAUGGGCGCAAGCCUGAUCCAGCAAUGCCGCGUGCAGGAAGAAGGCCUUCGGGUUGUAAACUGCUUUUGUACGGAGCGAAAAGGCUCUCUCUAAUACAGGGGGCUGAUGACGGUACCGUAAGAAUAAGCACCGGCUAACUACGUGCCAGCAGCCGCCGUAA